rnacentral:rRNA from 1 species
AUGGCCUCCGGAACCUCGGCAGGUCGCGAGCCGUACGACGAGGAGGCCGCGAGCCGCCGCCCGCUCGAGCUCGGUGUCCGCGACUCCGCCCACGCUUCCGCCUCCGACCACCGGUCUGGAAAUAUUGUGCCUAGAUAUCAGGUGGGAUGUACUAAAGCUGAUACAAGUAAGAGAUACUUGGAGGGAUGGCAUAAGAAGCAAUCUAGUACAGAUGAUGUACGCAAGAGCAAGUCAGGAUACUUCACGGCAUUCGGGGUGGACCUAUCUCCUGAUAAUAUGGCAGUUGCCAUUGUAUAUUUUGUCCAAGGCCUUGAUAAUAUGGCUGAUAAUAUGGCAGUCUUAGGCCUUGCCCGACUUGCUGUGAGCUUUUACUUAAAGGACGAUCUUCACCUUGAUCCAGCUGAGACUGCAGUUAUAUCUGGCUUCUCAUCCUUGCCCUGGUUGAUCAAGCCAAUCUAUGGCUUUAUCAGUGAUUCUAUUCCACUAUAUGGGUAUCGAAGAAGAUCAUAUCUUAUUCUGUCAGGAUUUCUUGGAACACUUUCAUGGAGUCUGAUGGCUACAGUAGUGAACAGUAAAUAUGGUGCAGGAUUCUCUAUUCUUCUUGGAUCACUUUCUGUUGCCUUCUCAGAUGUUGUCGUAGAUUCUAUGGUAGUUGAGAGAGCUCGUGGCGAAUCACAAAGUACAUCUGGAUCUCUCCAGUCUCUAUGUUGGGGGUCCUCGGCAUUUGGUGGAAUUGUGAGCGCAUAUUUCAGUGGUUCGCUUGUGGAUGCAUAUGGAGUAAGAUUUGUCUUUGGUAUUACGGCAUUUUUACCAUUGAUGACAUCUGCUGUUGCAGUUCUUGUAAAUGAACAUCGCCUGACUCCUGGAGAACAUGCUAUGUCAGUCUCUGGUUCAGGAUUCAUUGAGAGCUCAAUACAGCACAUCAAGCAGCUAUGGACUUCUGUAAAGCAACCUAACAUUUUCUUGCCGACCUUGUUUAUAUUCCUCUGGCAAGCAACACCACACUCAGAGUCAGCCAUGUUUUUCUUCAUCACAAAUAAGCUUGGAUUCACUCCAGGGUUUCUAGGACGUGUAAAACUCGUUACUUCCAUUGCAUCCUUGCUCGGUGUCGGAAUUUAUAACUAUUUUCUGAAGGCAGUUCAUCUGAGGAAAAUAUUUCUUGUGACAACCAUCAUAGGUUCAGCCCUUGGAAUGACACAGGUUCUUCUUGUCACUGGGCUUAAUAGGCAGUUUGGGGUCAGUGAUGAGUGGUUCUCCAUUGGAGAUUCGUUAAUCAUCACGGUCCUUGGCCAGGCUGCAUUCAUGCCAGUUUUGGUGUUAGCUGCAAAAUUGUGCCCUCCAGGAAUGGAGGCGACUUUGUUUGCCACUUUGAUGUCCAUUUCUAAUGCUGGAAGUGUUACGGGUGGUCUUGUCGGUGCUGGUCUAACAAAGAUUUUUGGAGUCACUAGGGAAAGCUUCGGAAAUCUACCUCUGUUGAUUAUUGUAUGCAAUCUCAGUUCCUUGCUGCCCUUGCCUCUUCUAGGUCUCCUUCCAGACGAAACAGGAGAUUCAGAUAAUGAAGAAACAAAACACAGCUGA